GAUGAACGCUGGCGGCGUGCCUAAUACAUGCAAGUCGAGCGAACAGACGAGGAGCUUGCUCCUCUGACGUUAGCGGCGGGCGGGCGAGUAACAAGUGGAUAACCUACCUAUAAGACUGGGAUAACUUCGGGAAACCGGCGCUAAUACCGGAUAAUAUAUUGAACCGCAUAGUUCAUUAGUGAAAGACGGGUUUGGUGUCACUUAUCGAUGGAUCCGCGCCGCAUUAGCUAGUUGGUAAGGUAACGGCCUACCAAGGCAACGAUGCGUAGCCGACCUGAGAGGGUGAUCGGCCACACUGGAACUGAGACACGGUCCAGACUCCUACGGGAGGCAGCAGUAGGGAAUCUUCCGCAAUGGGCGAAAGCCUGACGGAGCAACGCCGCGUGAGUGAUGAAGGUCUUCGGAUCGUAAAACUCUGUUAUUAGGGAAGAACAAAUGUGUAAGUAACUAUGCACGUCGUGACGGUACCUAAUCAGAAAGCCACGGCUAACUACGUG
rnacentral:rRNA from 1 species